rnacentral:rRNA from 1 species
GACGAACGCUGGCGGCGUGCUUAACACAUGCAAGUCGAACGGAAAGGCCCUGCUUUUGUGGGGUGCUCGAGUGGCGAACGGGUGAGUAACACGUGAGUAACCUGCCCUUGACUUUGGGAUAACUUCAGAAAACUGGGGCUAAUACCGGAUAGGAGCUCCUGCUGCAUGGUGGGGGUUGGAAAGUUUCGGCGGUUGGGGAUGGACUCGCGGCUUAUCAGCUUGUUGGUGGGGUAGUGGCUUACCAAGGCUUUGACGGGUAGCCGGCCUGAGAGGGUGACCGGCCACAUUGGGACUGAGAUACGGCCCAGACUCCUACGGGAGGCAGCAGUGGGGAAUAUUGCACAAUGUGCGGAAGCCUGAUGCAGCAACGCCGCGUGCGGGAUGACGGCCUUCGGGUUGUAAACCGCUUUCGCCUGUGACGAAGCGUGAGUGACGGUAAUGGGUAAAGAAGCACCGGCUAACUACGUG